CCUACGGGUGGCAGCAGUGGGGAAUAUUGGGCAAUGGGCGCAAGCCUGACCCAGCAACGCCGCGUGAAGGAAGAAGGCCCUCGGGUUGUAAACUUCUUUUGUCAGGGACGAAACAAAUGAAGGUACCUGACGAAUAAGCCACGGCUAACUACGUGCCAGCAGCCGCGGUAAUACGGAGGAUGCGAGCGUUAUCCGGAUUUAUUGGGUUUAAAGGGUGCGUAGGCGGGUUAUCAAGUCAGCGGUAAAAUCGUGGAGCUCAACUCCAUCCAGCCGUUGAAACUGAUGAUCUUGAGUGGGCGAGAAGUAUGCGGAAUGCGUGGUGUAGCGGUGAAAUGCAUAGAUAUCACGCAGAACUCCGAUUGCGAAGGCAGCAUACCGGCGCCCGACUGACGCUGAAGCACGAAAGCGUGGGUAUCGAACAGGAUUAGAUACCCUGGUAGUC
rnacentral:rRNA from 1 species